CCUACUGCUAUCAUAGUGGGAUAAGCCUUGUUAGUCAUCGCAAGAUUGCGUGUGGAACUGGUGACUGGCAGGCCGUCAACAUGUUUAGGGGACGUGGAUAACCUGGGAAACUGACGAUAAACCGCGAUCCUCCAAAUUUUCUGGAAUGGACUUUGUCUGAAACCUACAUGUUCCCUGGAUUGGACUGCGGCCGAUCAGGCUGUUGGUGAGGUAAUGGCCCACCGACCUGUCACCGGAUUCGGGUCUUAUAGGAUGAGCCUUGAGAUGGGCACUGAUACUAGGGCCCGAGCCCUAUGGGGCUCAGCAUGCGCGAAACCUCUGUGAAAUUCUAAAGAUUUGACAGGGUUACUCUGAUUGAUGUCCGUUAAGCGGCAUCUUUUGGCACCUCUCAAAAUGGUGCAGUAAUAAGGGGUGGGCAAGAUCUGGUGUCAGCCCUACGUCUCAACUACCAACACCCCCAGUGGUCGGGACGGAUUAAUGUUGCCUAAUAGGACUCCGCCCGCACCUUAUGAGUCUAUCCGUUAAAUUUGGCCUGCUCAACAGAUGGGCUGCGGAGGAUACUACAGGGCUAGGAGGCGGGAGAGGCAAGCGGUACUCAGUGGGUAGGGGUAAAAUCCUCUGAUCCACUGAAGACCACCAGUGGCGAAGGCGGCUUGCCAGAACGCGCUCGACGGUGAGGGAUGAAAGCUGGGGGAGCAAACCGGAUUAGAUACCCGGGUAGUCCCAGCUGUAAACGAUGCAGACUCGGUGAUGGGUUGGCUUUGUGCCAACCCAGUGCCGCAGGGAAGCCGUUAAGUCUGCCGCCUGGGGAGUACGGUCGCAAGACUGAAACUUAAAGGAAUUGGCGGGGGAGCACCACAAGGGGUGAAGCCUGCGGUUCAAUUGGAGUCAACGCCGGAAAUCUUACCGGGGGCGACAGCAGAGUGAAGGUCAAGCUGAAGACUUUACCAGACAAGCUGAGAGGAGGCGCAUGGCCGUCGCCAGCUCGUGCCGUGAGGUGUCCUGUUAAGUCAGGUAACGAGCAAGAUCCCUGCCUCUAGUUGCUACUGCUGGUCUCCGGACUAGCAGGGCUAAUUAGAGGGACCGCCGCCGCUGAGGCGGAGGAAGGAGGGGGCUACGGCAGGUCAGUAUGCCCCGAAACCCUCGGGCCACACGCGGGCUGCAAUGGUAAGGACAACGGGCUCCGAUUCCGAAAGGAGGAGGCAAUCCCACAAACCUUACCUCAGUUAUGAUUGAGGGCUGAAACUCGCCCUCAUGAAUCUGGAAUCCCUAGUAACCGCGUGUCACUAUCGCGCGGUGAAUACGUCCCUGCUCC
rnacentral:rRNA from 1 species